UAGCACCGGUCACCCGUGCCUCCCCUGCUCAGGCUAGCAUGGUCGCGCCUUUCACCGGCCUCAAGUCCAUCGCAUCAUUCCCCGUCACCCGAAAGCUCGAGAAUGACAUUACCUCUAUUACCAGCAAUGGAGGAAGAGUUCAAUGCAUGAAGGUAUAUAUCUAUACUACUUAAUACUCAUAUAUAUAGUAUGUGCUCAUGCGGAUCUAGUAUAACAUGACAGAACAUUCUUAAUUACUUAUUGCUCUCAAAGUAGCAUAGCUUUGGAAUUUUCCUUGGAUAUGUGAAUAAUUUACAAAAAUUAUGAUUCACAGAAAUCAUGUGUGUGUCAAUGUGUGAGGACCUAAGCAUUCGCCCCUGAAGUGAAGUAGAUUUUAAUUCAAUAAUGAAAUUGAAUUGUACCUUAAUUAGCUUGCUCUCAGUGAGACAGUAACCCCACUCACAGUCUCACUAAAUAGUCGGUAAUGUAUAUUCUUAUAAAGACAUGGUCACGUUCUUCAAAUUUUGCAAUGCAAUACUGUUUCUAAAAAAAGUAUCAAGGAGAACACACCUUGGUUCUGAAAGUGAAUAAGAAAUUAGUUAGCUAACAUAUGUGAAUGGUGCAAGCGCAGGUAUGGCCACCAAUUAACAUGAAGAAGUUCGAGACACUCUCGUACCUUCCUCCUCUCACCACCGAACAAUUGGCAAAGGAGGUCGACUACCUUCUCCGUUCCGGAUGGGUUCCUUGUCUGGAAUUCGAGUUGGAGGUAACCACUUUCUUCCUACACAUUUUUCAUGUUCUCUGUUACAUGUUUCUUGACAUUGCUGAUGACAAUUGUGUGUUAAACCGAAAUGUAGCACGGUUUCGUGUACCGUGAGCACAACAAAUCCCCCGGAUACUAUGACGGACGAUACUGGGUUAUGUGGAAGCUUCCCAUGUUCGGGUGCACCGACUCAUCGCAGGUGUUGAAGGAGCUUGAUGAGUGCGUCAAGGAGUACCCCCAGGCCUACGUCCGUAUCAUCGGAUUCGACAACGUUCGCCAAGUCCAGUGCAUCAGUUUCAUUGCUCACCAGCCAGAAUGCUGAUCAAUCUGUCUGUUGAUUUCAUAUAUUUAUCUAUCUUGUUCGGCUCAUAUAUAAACUUCUUGCAAUUUCAUUUCAUUCCUUUCAGUUUUAAAUUUCUCACUUGUAUCUCCAACACAAGGAAAUUUGAACUAUAGAGGAUUAUAUGUAGCGACUGUUGGUGAUUAUAUAUAUCUACUUGUUUGUUUUCCCUGCACCUUCUAAAUACUUGCAUCAUAUGCUUUCAUGUCGUGAUGUACUUUUUUAUAUAUCUCCGAUUCUCCAUGCAGUAAUUAAGCGUGCACUGCAUCAAAAUAACAAGAAACCAUCUACAAGGAGCUUUAGUCUUUAGAUGAACAAAACGAAUACUUUCAUAACUGCAUAUACCAAAACGGCAAAACAUGUAUUAGAAUUCCAACAAAGCUGAUAAGCUUCAACAAAAUUGCAACAUCUGCUAAUGCUACAAGAAACCUAUACAGAUGGACGCAAUCAAAAUCUUAAAGUAAGCAUAUAUACAAACAUUGUGUACUUUACUUAUUAGUACUAUAUCUCUCUAACUGGGAACCCGUUUGUCUGAGCUUAUGGCUUAUGAUUUAUCGUGACUUAUUACUUAACGUGAUUUAUUUGAUAAGCUGAGAGUUUAAAAUGUCUGUUUGGUAAUUUUGACGUAUUAAUGACUUAUGAGUUAUUAAAAAUACAAUAACAACAAUAAAAGUGAUUUAUGAGUAAUUUAUAACUUAGGAGUAAUUUUUUUCAAAAAAAAAAUUCAAUAAAAUUAGCCACUGAAAAAAGUAUCUCAAAUUAACUUCUGGCUUUAAAUCAGCUUCUAGCUUAUUUCUGAUUUUAAGCCGACUUCUGACUUAUUACACAAACAGACAUUUUUCAGCUUAAAGUCAGAGAUAACUUAAAGUCCGGGCUUUAAGCCCAGACAAACAAGCUCUAGGUGGCAAGCUCUGGAUCUUCUUAGUUAGUUGAGUUAAUUAGUUGGGAAUGUUGUUAAUGUGUUUGAUAAUCCAACCUCCCCUCCCAAAUCCACCGUCGCCUCUUCUUUUCUCAUCUUUUUAGCCUUCUUUUUCAAAUUUAACAGAGCUUGAAUGAUACUCGCGACCACACUUUCGCACUCCAGUCAACUUCGGAAUGUUUGCUUUUGCGCAAUUAUUGUACUGCUUCCCUCCAUUUAUCUACCUUUAACGUAUUUUUAAUAUUUAAAUUAGAAAAUUUAAUAAAUUUCUUAAAUAACGAAGCAUAUUAUCUUACUUGCAUGAAGGUAAAUCAUACGUUCUUGUAAAUUUAAUGGUAUAAUUUAGAAAUUGGAGUUUAGAAGUACUAGAGUCAUGUAUUUUACCUGAUGGUCUCGUAUGUAAGAGCAACUCUAAUGGGGUGCCAAAAAGAGUGUCAAAGUGCCAUGUGGCAUGACGUGGCAUGACACUCUUGUUGACUCUCCAUUGGAAUGGAAGGGGUGUCAAGUAAAGUUGUCAAUUUUUGGCACCCUCCUAAAAUGAAAAGAAGUGUAUAUAUCACCCUAAAGCAUAUAGUUCCCUAUCUUUUUAUACUUAUAUUUGUAUUUUGUUUGGUUUAUAUAAAAAAAAUUAUAUUGUACAAUUAUGUGGCAACUUUGGUUGCCAACCAUUGGAGCAAAUUUUUACAAAUAAAGAGAGAGAAGAUAAAAUAAUACUACCUCCAUCCCAAAUUAGAUGUCCCCGUUGACUUUGUUCACGUAACUUUAGGUGCAUUGACCGUCUACUUCCGAAAUUUAUUUUUUUAUUUUUUCUUUUAUAAAUGAAAAUUUCAUAUUUUAAUUUUUAUUUGCAAAAAUAAAAUUUUAAAAAUGAUUUACGUAUCUAUGCGGUUAAUUAACCUUAAAUUGUGUGCUCAAAGUCAACAGAGUCAUCUAAUUUGGAAUGGAGGGAGUAAUACUUUUGAUGAUGUGUCAUUUUAAGCAACUUUAGUUGGCACCCCCAUUGGAGAUGCUUUAACUGUGUUUACACGUGGGUUUUGCUGCUUACAGAGUUACAGUUACAGCUCAUAUAACAUACUCCCGCCAUUUCACAUGUGACUUCAUCUUUUGACUAGGGUUUUGAUAUCCCAGCUUGCAUGAUUUGUGUCCAUCGGUUGCUCAGCUGAGACGAUCUUAGUGCUAUCUUAUCGAACACUCCGUGAAUCGGAGUUAGUCAGUGGAAAAUCAUGGAUUAAUCAGAUAAUCGGAGAUUAAUCGGUCCAAUAAUCGGAGUCAAUUUAAUAUUUUUUUAAUAUAUUAUAAAUUUAUAAUUUUAUAUAAUCAAAAUAGCAAAUAUUUUUAUACCUCAAACUAGGACUUUAAAAUGAUCUGGGCGAUAAUGAGUACCCAUCUCCUCAAGUAUCGGAUCAUAUUAUUUUUAGUUUGCCCAGAUUUGGGUCUGAGAUUAUUUUAUUCGGAUAUAAACCGAUCCCGGAUAUUUGAGAUCCAGAUCUAAACCGAAUAUGAUCCAAUAUCGUAUUUUCUACUUUUUAAUCGGGUAGUUUAUGAUCCGUUAAAUAUGAGCCUGAUAUGAUCCACUAAUAUUAAAUAUCAUUAUUAUUUCAAUUAUUCAAAUAAUUAUUAUUUAAUCUAAGUAAACAUACUAUUAUAAAUUAUAAUAAUUUAAAUUAAAACUUAUAAUUAUAUGUUGGUAUAUAUAUAUAUUUGAAGAUAUUUAGCAUUAUCACAUUAAAUAAAUCAUAUUUUACGAAGAUAUAAACUUAAAUAAGAUAUUAAAAUUUUAUAAAAUGAUGACUAUUUAAUUACAAAUGUGAUGUAUUUAAAAUAUAAUAUGUACAUUAGUUCGAAUCGAAUAUGAACCUUGAUUCAUAUUCGGGUAUUUGGGCAGGAUCAUAUUAUGAAUAAUUACAUGAGACCGAAUCUGAGCGGGUAUAACUGUGCUCAUAUCCGGGAUCAUAUAUUAUACGGGCUUAAUUUUUCCGCCAGAUUUGGAUCGUUUCCAAACGGAUAUGAGACAUUUAUCAUAUUUUCGAGCCGGAUUUAAGUCUAGACACCGUAUAAUCCAUAUCGAUUUACAGCCUACCUCAAACAAAUACACACACAUGUAUAUAUAUUAGCACAAACAAAAAUAUAUAUUUGUAAGUAUUUUACAUAAUUCCACGACAUAAUUUAAUAAAAAAUUGUAUCUUUAUACAUAAUUAUAUUUCCAAGUACAAUUUUUCAUAAUCGUUAAAACUGUAAUUGAAUAAUUUUCAUAUUUUUUUGAAUUUUUUAUAAAUUUGAACUAAUAGUUUUUAAUAAAAAAUAAAAAUUAAUUUUUUAAAUAUUGGACCAAAUUUUGACCAAUUUUGCCGACUUUUGACCGAUUUUACCAACUUUUAACCGAUUUUUACCGACUUUUUAAAAAAACAGUUUUUUACCCGAUUAACGAUUAAUCGAGAAGUUUUUUGUCUGAAUAGCGAUUAAUCCCUAACUAAUCGCAGACUUUUAGGACACUGCUUCCCGUAUUUAAUCCGAAAUUGAUGAGACAUUUAUUCCCACAAGAAACAAUAGAUAUCAUGAUGAGAAAAUGUCAACAAAAUACUCCCUCCGUUUUAAUUUACAUGUCCACUUUGUAAAAAAAGUUAUGUUUCAAAUUACUUGUCCACUUCAACUUUCAAUGCAAAAUCAUAUUUCCAAAGUCAAUUAUACUCCACAUAUCUCGUAUUUAUAUUUCCUACAUCAAUCUCACUCCACAUGUUAUGGUCAUUUAAUAGAAUUAAUUUGUGAACAACCACUUUUCUUAAACUGUGUGAUUUUUUGAAAGUGGACAUCUAUUUUGAAACGGAGGGAGUACAAUUUAUACCGAGAAUCGCAAGGAGUAUUUUAAUAAAUAUGCCGAUCUUAAUUACUCCCUUUGUCCCUCUUUAUCUCUCCACUUUGGAAGUAAAAAUUUGUCCCUAUUUAUCUGUCCAUUUAUACUUUUAAAACUAAUUUAAUGAUAGUUUUUCAAAUAUAUCUCCAUAAUUUCAAUUUUCAAGACUUGACUUAUUUAAAACUUAGUUGAAUUCAUGUUUUCAAGACAUAAAGUAGGGGUAUUCCACCAUUUUCAAGAUAUUAAUUAGAGGUAUUUAAUAAAAAAGUUUAUACAAUUAAUUAUUCCUUGGUAUGUGUUUUUUUUUCUCAAAAUGGACAGAUAAAAAGGGACGGAGGGAGUAACUUAUAGACACAACGUGCAGAAGAAUCCUAAAAUCUAAAAACACCACAUUUUCUAGUGUCUUGCACAUAUUUUAGGUUCUGUAAAUAGAAUUUUGAGCAAAAUCCCCUUAAUACAUAAUUGAAUAAAGACCCCUCCUAGAGAUCAACUCUGCCGGCGGAACUAGGGAAGAAACCUUAGUUCAGUCAUAAAGAUUUAUUUUUAUUUUUUUCAGAUUUUUUUAUUUGAUCUCUGGGAAAUAACAGUGAAGCAAUAACAUAUUUAUUAUGCAAAUUUUAAUUCCAGAUACGAUUCCUGUCAUUGACUAACAGGCCAAAGUCAUUUUCUUAAUGGGCUCUAUUUUCUUGACCAAAAUCAUUUUGUUUCCCCUACUAUCUUCCCUAAGCCCAUGUAUUUAAAUUUCAAUUACGCCCAACCACUAGCCCAGAGUAGUUGGGCCAUAAGUUAACCGUCCAACGUCAAAAUGAAUCAUAGGUUAAUUGAUUUUUAUUCAUAAAAACUGUAUGUACGUGAAUCCAGGGCAGAGGACGGAAGAUAAGAGCAAGUCCAACAGCUGCCCUAUUUAGUGUCCUAAGUCAUAAUAUAGGGCAUUUGAUGAAAAAACUUGAUCCAACAAUGUCCUAGUGAUGCCCUAUAUCACUAGGACAACCCAUUCAAGCCCUAUUUUUGAGGCACUCUCUCUCCUUGCCUUAUCUCAUAUUUUAUAAUAAAUUCUUACCAACACUCUCUUUCUCUCUCUAUUUUAUAUUAUGUUUUAAUGAUGAAAGAGAACUUUUAAUAAUAAAAUAUUAAACAUAUAGUGAAAAUAAGGCACAUUGUUGGAGUUGAAGUUAGUAUAAUAUGUCCUAGACUACUAGGACAUAAUUUUUUAUAUUACAUUUUGGGUUCAAACUAGGACACUGUUGGACUUGCUCUAAGUACAUAACUCAUUAUUUGGGUUAUGGGACUCAUUAUUUGAGACACUGUUGGAAUUAUAGUCUGGGUUACUUGUUAAAGUCUAACAUCACAAGUUAUUGUUCUUAAAAUUAUUAGGAAACCAGGAUUGAAGCUCAAAAUUAUCACCACUACAUCCUCCUUUCUUCGUCCCUUUUUACUUGUCACAUUGUUAUUUUUGUUGGUCAAAUUGACUAACUUUUGACCAAAGAUUAAUUACUACUCUUUCAAUAUUUUGAAAAAAUAAAAAUUAUAUCUUAAAGUAGAUUAAAAGUUAUUUCCGAUAACAUAUUUUUUUUUUUCAAUUGAUAAAAUAUUAAUAAAUUUCAGUCAAAUUUUGGUCAAUUUGACCUGCACAAAACCAAAUGUGACAACGAAAAUAGGACGGAUGGAGUAUUUCGUGGUGAAACAAAUUUGGCCUAAAUGACAGUCUUAGGGGGUGUUUAUACCGUUAUAAACGCCUUAAGACAAAAUGACUGUCUUAGGGGGUGUUUGUUUCCGGCUUAAAAGUGGUUUAUAAGUCAGAAGCACUUAUUCGUAUUGUUUGUAAAAGUCAAGAAGCAUUUAUAAAAAGCUAGGAAUGCUAACUUUUGUUUUAAGGCUUCCGUUUCUUUCCCAAACACUUUAAGCACUUAUAAGUCUUAACUUGGUUUUAACUUCUACUCCACUUUUUUAUUUCAAUCAAGAAUCACUUAUUUUAAACUCACCCAAACGGCCCCUUAAUAUGGGAUUACUACAUUUUGGACCACGAACACUGUUUGAACUAUGUGAUAUAGUUUCUUUACUAAGCCGUACUCCUUCAGUCCCAUCCAUUUCUUUACACUUUCCUCUUUUGGAUGUCCCACCCAAUUCUAUACAUUUCAAAACUUACCAAAAAUAGUCAAUGAGUCCCACCACUUCUACAUUUUUCUUUCCUUUUCACAUUACUUUAACUCCACUAUCUUCUUUUUAUACAUUAAAAAUCGAUGGAUCCACCACUUUACCUACUUUUCUCCCUCUUUUCCACUACUUUAUACAUAUUUUUUAACCUCCGUGCCCAACCCAUUCGAUAAGAAAUGGGUGGGACGGAGGGAGUACUACAAACUCUAGAACUGGAAGGACUAUGGGCCACUUAAAUGCAGCAUAUAUCUUGCAAUUUGAGCAAAAUAAUGGAGCAAAUUCCGAAUGCAAUCUAUCCAUACAUUACACUCAAGUGUGAACUAAGGGAAAGAACAAUCCGUAUAUUUUAAGGAUUCUAGUUCCUGGCAUGUGUAUGAUUUUGUUGGAUGAUAAAUGCAUCCAACGGCAUGAUUAUAACAAAAAUUCCUCAUGUCAGAAUGUUUUAUUUUUCUGCAUAUGAUAUGAAACUUGAAUAAUAAGAGGAAGGGGGAAAGUGAUGCAACUGCAAUUGAAGAAGUCAGUAGUCACUUAUUUAAAUUUCAAAGUACAAAGCCCAAAUAAGCAAUUUCCAAAGAGCUAAGCAAUGAAGGGCCAAGAAAUGGCUAGCUACUGCUAAAGAAAGCAAGUCCUCAUUCCUUGAUCAGAAGAGAUAAGGCAACCGCUCUCAUGCCACGUGUCAACUCAAUAAGAGUGUUUAAUGAUAAGGCAACCAAUCCAAAUUGCUCACACUGUGUGGCUACCAUGUUGCCUUGUCAACUUCACUGUAAUUCAAUGGUCAGAAAAAUUCUGAACUUUAGGAGGUGAAUUGGGAACCAUUGGAUCAGCAGGUUAAACGAUAAUGAGAUGAAAUGCCUAUAUAUUGGAUAGGUGAAGGAACAGAAGCAAGCCUCUCAAACACAAGAGAAGAAAGUAAAAGAACAAGAAGAGAGUAUUAGUACUCAUGGCUUCUUCAAUGAUAUCAUCAGUAGCACCGGUUACCCGUGCAUCCCCUGCUCAGGCUAACAUGGUCGCGCCUUUCACCGGCCUCAAGUCCAUCGCAUCAUUCCCCGUCACCCGAAAGCUUGAGAAUGACAUUACCUCUAUUACCAGCAACGGAGGAAGAGUUCAAUGCAUGAAGGUAUAUAUCUAUACUACUUAAUACUCAGAUAUAUUAUGUGCUAAUGAGGAACCAGUAUAACAUGGCAGAACAUUUCUUAGUUAGUUAUUGCUCAUUUGCUCUCAAAGUAGCACAAUUCUAAGUCAGAUAAAGCAGUCCUAGGUAACUUUAGAGUGAGUAACUUCAGAAUUUUCCUUGAAUAUGUCAAUAAUAUACAAAAAUUAUGUCAACACCUCGAUUAAAAGAUUGUUUUGCUUGUAUUUUCCUCCUGAGCUGAUCUGAGAAAUUUUGUUCUCAAGUCAAACAAUUAGAGACUUUAGCUCAAGAGAAAUGUCACCCCCUGGCAUUGUAGCCUGCGGGAUGUCCUCUAUAUUUUACCAUAGUAACCAUGUCGCCCCUCAAGUGAAGUAGAAUUUAAUUCAAUAAUGAAAUUGAACUACCCAGUAGAGGAAAUUUCUAGUUUUUUUGUAUAAUUUCCACCUUAGCUUGCUCUUAGUAACCCCCCUCAGUCUCAUUAAAUAGUCGGAAAUGUAUAUUCUUAUGAAGACAUGAUCACGUUCUUCAAAUUUUGCAAUCCAACACUGUUUCUAGACAAAUAUACAAUCUGUCGGUUUGUAAUUGAGUAAAUAUGACAUUCACAAAAUAUAUCAAGGAGAACACACCUUGGUUCUGAAAGUGAAUGAUAAAUUAGUUAGGUAACAUAUGUGAAUGGUGCAAGUGCAGGUAUGGCCACCAAUUAACAUGAAGAAGUUCGAGACACUCUCAUACCUUCCUCCUCUCACCACCGAACAAUUGGCAAAGGAGGUCGACUACCUUCUCCGUUCCGGAUGGGUUCCUUGUCUGGAAUUCGAGUUGGAGGUAAGCACUUUCUUCCUACACAUUUUUCAUGUUCUCUGUUACAUGUUUCUUGACAUUGCUGAUGACAAUUGUGUGUUAAACCAAUAUGCAGCACGGUUUCGUGUACCGUGAGCACAACAAAUCUCCCGGAUACUAUGACGGACGAUACUGGGUUAUGUGGAAGCUUCCCAUGUUCGGGUGCACCGACUCAUCGCAGGUGUUGAAGGAGCUUGAUGAGUGCGUCAAGGAGUACCCCCAGGCGUACGUCCGUAUCAUCGGAUUCGACAACGUUCGCCAAGUCCAGUGCAUCAGUUUCAUUGCUCACCAGCCAGAAUGCUGAUCAAUCUGUCUGUUGAUUUCAUAUAUUUAUCAAUCUUGUUCGGCUCAUAUAUAAACUUCUUGCAAUCUCAUUUCAUUUCUUUCCGUUUUAAAUUUCUUACUUGUAUCUCCAACACAAGGAAAUUGGAACUAUAGAGGAUUAUAUGUAGCGAUUGUUGGUGAUUAUAUAUAUCUACUUGUUUGUUUUCCCUGCACCUUCUAAAUACUUGCAUCAUAUGCUUUCAUGUCGUGAUGUACUUUUUUAUAUAUCUCCGAUUCUCCAUGCAGUAAUUAACCACUACGGUCUUUUUACACCAACAAAUUAUAUGAUAACAUAUAGAAACAGUUCAUUGCUUCCGUAAUAUCUGCCUUGGUACAUGUUCUCUUGUAUCACUACAAAACCUUUCACGUCCAACAAUGUGAAAGCAAAUUCUCUGUAAUAGAAAUGGACAUCUGCUAGCGACAUUUCAGAUAAUAAUAAAGUGUACUUAUGCACCAUCUGGUUGGAAGGAAUGAACGGGAAAAACAUGAACAAAAUCAAAGGUAAACGAGAAGUAUACAAGAGUGAAGAGUGAUGAAGAACUAGAAAGUGCAGACUUUAUUAUGAGUUUCACAAUAUAAUGAGUAAAAUAUAGGAAUGAUCAUUUAUCCCUAUAUUGGUAAGAUUGAGAUAUUAGUUUUUUUUUGUGUGCCAAACUAGUACAAAUUUCAUUUCAUUCUCCCUAAACGUAAUUCUUCCAACAAAAUGGGGCAUUACAUAAAGGUAUAAAGAUGAGGAGAUUAAAGAUUGACAGCUGCGAUAAGGGAAGGUAUGGAAAACAUGUGUAACUAUAUAAAUGUCGAACACCAAUAAGAUCCAAAUAACUCAGAUAACAUCCAAACUCAGUAACAAAUUGGUUAACAGAUAAAAUUCAGAAGCGAAUGCAAAAUAGUUUAUAAAAUUAGAUUCUAAGAUUCAAAAUUUCUAGUAUUCAGAUUAUAUGCAGAUGAAAGAGGAAGGGAGAUUUAUUGAAUAAUUUAGGCUUGACAAAACACAAUAAAAUGAUACACAUAGACUAGUAUACUCUAAUACUUAAUGAGCAGCAUAUAUUCUUAUUCUUAACUACCGUCUAUUCUAUUAUAUCAAAGAAACAUAAAUUAUUGCAAAGCUGUAAAUUCACAUUAAGAAGCUUAAACAAAUUACACAACUAGAAAUCAACCACUCAAAUUGGAUAUAAUUGGAUAAAUAUCUAAAGAGAUCAUAACUAAGAACCCUAAUUUCAAAGUUAUAAAUGUAUGUAUAUAAAUGAUUCAAAAAUCAGAACUCUGUAACACAAAAAAGCUAGCUGAACUGAGAUGAAGUAGAAAGCAGCAACAAAACAUUUAUGAAUUAAAUAUCUAAAGCUGAUCUAAUUACAAACAUCAACUCACAGUUAUCAAGAGGGGUGUAUUGGAUUGGGAUUUUAAAUCAUUUUUUUGCAUUCAUGAAAUCCGAGGGUAUUCGAUUGAGAUUAUUUGAAAUGCAUUAAAAUCUUGGGGUAUUCAAUUGGGAUUUUGAAUUAUGCUACAAAAUCUGGUGGUAUUCAAUUGGGAUUUUAAAUUAUGCUUUAAAAUCCGGUGGUAUUCAAUUCGGAUUGUUUAAAAUCCAUUAAAAUCUGAUGGUAUUCAAAUGUUGUCGGAUUUUUUUUCAUUUCAUAAAAUGGUGGAUUUUGUGGCAUUGUUCGAUGUAUUUUAAGUUUUAUGAAAUCCCACCAAAAUCAAUGGGAUUUUGAAGCAUUGUGCUUAAAUCCUAUCAACUCUGCGACAUUUCAUCAAGAAUCCGCACAAAAUCAAAAUCACAUGCAAUCCAUUAAAAUCCAUAGACUAAAAACAAUCCAUUAAAAUCUCAAUCGAAUACACCCCCGCAAUUUAUUAAUCAGAUGAGAGGAAGGAAGGGAGAGGGUCAGAGGGAGAGGGAGAGGGAGAGAGAGAGAGAGAGAGGAGUUACAGUGCUACGGCGACGUUCAGCGGCGAUGGAGAAGCCAAAAGCGACCAAGCAUAGUAUUAUUACAAGAAGAUGAACGAGAGAUGAGCCUUUCCCUGCCCCCAUUAUUGUUUCUAAGGGCAUCUUUGAUCACAAUUUCAAGCUUCAUAUUUUUUUCACUUUUAAUUUUAUAGAUAGAUUAAUCAAUCUCCAAUCAUCCAUUUAUCUUCCUAUGUAAAGUCAUUUACUAGAUAAAUUAUAUUAUUUUAUAAAAAAAAAUUAAAUAACGAAAUAUAUGAUCUUUCUCGGAUGAAGAUAACUUGCAAAUUUAAUGGUAUAGUUUAGAAAUUGGGGUUGAGAAGUACCAGUAGUUAUGCUAUAUUUACCUGAUGAUCUCGUAUCGUAACUUUUUUUACACGUGGGAUUUUUUUGCUUACAGCUCAUACUCUAUAACACACUUCCGCCAUUUCACAUGUGACUUCAUCUUUUGACCAGGGUUCUGUAAAUAGAAUUUUGAGCAAGAUCCCCUUAAUACAUAACUGAAUAAACAACACUCGUAGAGAUGAAUUCUGCUGGCGGAACUAGGGAAGAAACCCUAGCUUAGUCAAAGUUUUUUUUUUCUUCCAGAUAUUUGUUUUUUUUCAGAUAUUUUUUUAUUUGAGCUCUUAAAAAUAACAGUGAACCAAUAAAAAGUAUUUAUUGUGCAAAUUUUAAUUCUAGAUUAUUUUGAUUCAUGUCAUAUUGUCAUUGACUAACAGGCCAAAGUCAUUUUGUUAAUGGGCUCUAUUUUCUUGACCAAAAUCAUACUGUUUCCCCUACUAUUAUCCUGAGCCCAUGUUUUCAAAUUUCAAUUACGCCCAACCACCAGUCCAGAGUAGUUGUUGUUGGGCCACAAGGUAACCAUCCAAUGUCUAAACUAAUCAUAGUCCAAAUAAAAUUUUUUCAUAAAAACUGCGUGUACGUGAAUCCAGGGCAGAGGACUGAACAUGACUCCACUUGAGUUGAGCAAGAAAACCGCAAUCAUAUAUCUUUGAUUUUUAAAAUUGAAAACCGCAACCGUCAAUCGGGGUCGGUUUCGGUUUCGGUUUAAGAAACUUCGAUUCGGUUAAUAGUCGGCUCGGUUUCGAUUACAAAAUCGACAAAUAUAAGAAUGAAAAAUAGUACACAAACGAGACAAAUUAAUGCACGUAAUCUAGACAUAAUAAUUAAUAUAAUAUUAAAAUUUAACAAAAGUAACCGUAUUUUAUUUAAAACACUCUUGCCAGUAAUAUAAAACUAGUCUUAGUCAGAAUUUUCAUACAGAAUACGAAUCAGAACUUCCGGCUGAUUGGCUUUUUUAACACAUGCUUCAUGAAGAUUGAGAAAAUGUGACAGGGAAAAUAGGAAAUACAGAUUGGCAGUGGCCAGUCAGCAUGAGAUAUUCACUGAACAUCAAAUAUUAACAUAGACGGAUGUUUCUGUAAGUGUUAGAAUAGAUUUAUUAUAUUUAUUACAUAUUACAUAUAUUAUUUAUUAUUAUUUUAAUAACCGGUUCCGUUUGGUUUUUAUUGGUUCGGUUGGGAGGUAUAACCGGAACCAAACCGUUUAAAUCAGAUCAAUUUUUAAUUUUUCGGUUUCUAAUUGGUUUUUUUGAGUUUUUCCAAAUUUCGAUUCGUUUUGAUUUUAAAUCGGUUUUUUGCUAAGUCCUAAAUUAAGGUAUGGGUUCAAUUAUAGACAAGGUUAAGCUUACUUUUUAAAAAGUCUAACAUCACAAGUAAAUGGUUCACAAGUAAAUGGUCUUAAAACUAUAAAGAAACCAGGAUUGAAGCUCAAAAAUUAUCACCACUACACCCUUUUUUCGUGGUGCAACAAAUUUGGCCUAAAUCAAACGCAAAUCAAACGCAUUUAUACAAGACAAAUGACAGUCUUAAUAUAGGAUUACCCCAUUUUGGUUCAACCAUGAACACUGUUUGAACUAUGCGAUAGUUUCUUUACUAAAAUAUACUUCAGACUCUGGAACUGGAAGGACUAUGGGCCACUUAAAUGCAGCAUAUAUCUUGCAAUUUGAGCUCGAUAAUGGCAAAUUCCAAAUGCAAUCUAUCCACACAUUACACUCAAGUGCGAAAGAAUGAUCCAUGUAUUUUAAGGGUUUUGGUUCCUGGCAUGUGUACAUCAGGGAGUACUUAUAUAACAUACUGAUUUUGGAUCGUUGGAUGAUAUAUGCAUCUAACGGACAUAAUUAUAAAAAAAAUUCGUCAUGCUCAAUUUUUUUUUAUUUGUUUUUUUGCAUAUGAUAUGUAACUUGAAUAAUAAGAGGAAGGGGGAAAGUGAUGCAACUGCAAUUGAAGAAGUCAGUAGUCACUUAUUUAAAUUUCAAAGUACAAAGCCCAAAUAAGCAAUUUCCAAAGAGCUAAGCAAUGAAGGGCCAAGAAAUGGCUAGCUACUGCUAAAGAAAGCAAGUCCUCAUUCCUUGAUCAGAAGAGAUAAGGCAACCGCUCUCAUGCCACGUGUCAACUCAAUAAGAGUGUUUAAUGAUAAGGCAACCAAUCCAAAUUGCUCACACUGUGUGGCUACCAUGUUGCCUUGUCAACUUCACUGUAAUUCAAUGGUCAGAAAAAUUCUGAACUUUAGGAGGUGAAUUGGGAACCAUUGGAUCAGCAGGUUAAACGAUAAUGAGAUGAAAUGCCUAUAUAUUGGAUAGGUGAAGGAACAGAAGCAAGCCUCUCAAACACAAGAGAAGAAAGUAAAAGAACAAGAAGAGAGUAUUAGUACUCAUGGCUUCUUCAAUGAUAUCAUCAGUAGCACCGGUUACCCGUGCAUCCCCUGCUCAGGCUAACAUGGUCGCGCCUUUCACCGGCCUCAAGUCCAUCGCAUCAUUCCCCGUCACCCGAAAGCUUGAGAAUGACAUUACCUCUAUUACCAGCAACGGAGGAAGAGUUCAAUGCAUGAAGGUAUAUAUCUAUACUACUUAAUACUCAGAUAUAUUAUGUGCUAAUGAGGAACCAGUAUAACAUGGCAGAACAUUUCUUAGUUAGUUAUUGCUCAUUUGCUCUCAAAGUAGCACAAUUCUAAGUCAGAUAAAGCAGUCCUAGGUAACUUUAGAGUGAGUAACUUCAGAAUUUUCCUUGAAUAUGUCAAUAAUAUACAAAAAUUAUGUCAACACCUCGAUUAAAAGAUUGUUUUGCUUGUAUUUUCCUCCUGAGCUGAUCUGAGAAAUUUUGUUCUCAAGUCAAACAAUUAGAGACUUUAGCUCAAGAGAAAUGUCACCCCCUGGCAUUGUAGCCUGCGGGAUGUCCUCUAUAUUUUACCAUAGUAACCAUGUCGCCCCUCAAGUGAAGUAGAAUUUAAUUCAAUAAUGAAAUUGAACUACCCAGUAGAGGAAAUUUCUAGUUUUUUUGUAUAAUUUCCACCUUAGCUUGCUCUUAGUAACCCCCCUCAGUCUCAUUAAAUAGUCGGAAAUGUAUAUUCUUAUGAAGACAUGAUCACGUUCUUCAAAUUUUGCAAUCCAACACUGUUUCUAGACAAAUAUACAAUCUGUCGGUUUGUAAUUGAGUAAAUAUGACAUUCACAAAAUAUAUCAAGGAGAACACACCUUGGUUCUGAAAGUGAAUGAUAAAUUAGUUAGGUAACAUAUGUGAAUGGUGCAAGUGCAGGUAUGGCCACCAAUUAACAUGAAGAAGUUCGAGACACUCUCAUACCUUCCUCCUCUCACCACCGAACAAUUGGCAAAGGAGGUCGACUACCUUCUCCGUUCCGGAUGGGUUCCUUGUCUGGAAUUCGAGUUGGAGGUAAGCACUUUCUUCCUACACAUUUUUCAUGUUCUCUGUUACAUGUUUCUUGACAUUGCUGAUGACAAUUGUGUGUUAAACCAAUAUGCAGCACGGUUUCGUGUACCGUGAGCACAACAAAUCUCCCGGAUACUAUGACGGACGAUACUGGGUUAUGUGGAAGCUUCCCAUGUUCGGGUGCACCGACUCAUCGCAGGUGUUGAAGGAGCUUGAUGAGUGCGUCAAGGAGUACCCCCAGGCGUACGUCCGUAUCAUCGGAUUCGACAACGUUCGCCAAGUCCAGUGCAUCAGUUUCAUUGCUCACCAGCCAGAAUGCUGAUCAAUCUGUCUGUUGAUUUCAUAUAUUUAUCAAUCUUGUUCGGCUCAUAUAUAAACUUCUUGCAAUCUCAUUUCAUUUCUUUCCGUUUUAAAUUUCUUACUUGUAUCUCCAACACAAGGAAAUUGGAACUAUAGAGGAUUAUAUGUAGCGAUUGUUGGUGAUUAUAUAUAUCUACUUGUUUGUUUUCCCUGCACCUUCUAAAUACUUGCAUCAUAUGCUUUCAUGUCGUGAUGUACUUUUUUAUAUAUCUCCGAUUCUCCAUGCAGUAAUUAACCACUACGGUCUUUUUACACCAACAAAUUAUAUGAUAACAUAUAGAAACAGUUCAUUGCUUCCGUAAUAUCUGCCUUGGUACAUGUUCUCUUGUAUCACUACAAAACCUUUCACGUCCAACAAUGUGAAAGCAAAUUCUCUGUAAUAGAAAUGGACAUCUGCUAGCGACAUUUCAGAUAAUAAUAAAGUGUACUUAUGCACCAUCUGGUUGGAAGGAAUGAACGGGAAAAACAUGAACAAAAUCAAAGGUAAACGAGAAGUAUACAAGAGUGAAGAGUGAUGAAGAACUAGAAAGUGCAGACUUUAUUAUGAGUUUCACAAUAUAAUGAGUAAAAUAUAGGAAUGAUCAUUUAUCCCUAUAUUGGUAAGAUUGAGAUAUUAGUUUUUUUUUGUGUGCCAAACUAGUACAAAUUUCAUUUCAUUCUCCCUAAACGUAAUUCUUCCAACAAAAUGGGGCAUUACAUAAAGGUAUAAAGAUGAGGAGAUUAAAGAUUGACAGCUGCGAUAAGGGAAGGUAUGGAAAACAUGUGUAACUAUAUAAAUGUCGAACACCAAUAAGAUCCAAAUAACUCAGAUAACAUCCAAACUCAGUAACAAAUUGGUUAACAGAUAAAAUUCAGAAGCGAAUGCAAAAUAGUUUAUAAAAUUAGAUUCUAAGAUUCAAAAUUUCUAGUAUUCAGAUUAUAUGCAGAUGAAAGAGGAAGGGAGAUUUAUUGAAUAAUUUAGGCUUGACAAAACACAAUAAAAUGAUACACAUAGACUAGUAUACUCUAAUACUUAAUGAGCAGCAUAUAUUCUUAUUCUUAACUACCGUCUAUUCUAUUAUAUCAAAGAAACAUAAAUUAUUGCAAAGCUGUAAAUUCACAUUAAGAAGCUUAAACAAAUUACACAACUAGAAAUCAACCACUCAAAUUGGAUAUAAUUGGAUAAAUAUCUAAAGAGAUCAUAACUAAGAACCCUAAUUUCAAAGUUAUAAAUGUAUGUAUAUAAAUGAUUCAAAAAUCAGAACUCUGUAACACAAAAAAGCUAGCUGAACUGAGAUGAAGUAGAAAGCAGCAACAAAACAUUUAUGAAUUAAAUAUCUAAAGCUGAUCUAAUUACAAACAUCAACUCACAGUUAUCAAGAGGGGUGUAUUGGAUUGGGAUUUUAAAUCAUUUUUUUGCAUUCAUGAAAUCCGAGGGUAUUCGAUUGAGAUUAUUUGAAAUGCAUUAAAAUCUUGGGGUAUUCAAUUGGGAUUUUGAAUUAUGCUACAAAAUCUGGUGGUAUUCAAUUGGGAUUUUAAAUUAUGCUUUAAAAUCCGGUGGUAUUCAAUUCGGAUUGUUUAAAAUCCAUUAAAAUCUGAUGGUAUUCAAAUGUUGUCGGAUUUUUUUUCAUUUCAUAAAAUGGUGGAUUUUGUGGCAUUGUUCGAUGUAUUUUAAGUUUUAUGAAAUCCCACCAAAAUCAAUGGGAUUUUGAAGCAUUGUGCUUAAAUCCUAUCAACUCUGCGACAUUUCAUCAAGAAUCCGCACAAAAUCAAAAUCACAUGCAAUCCAUUAAAAUCCAUAGACUAAAAACAAUCCAUUAAAAUCUCAAUCGAAUACACCCCCGCAAUUUAUUAAUCAGAUGAGAGGAAGGAAGGGAGAGGGUCAGAGGGAGAGGGAGAGGGAGAGAGAGAGAGAGAGAGGAGUUACAGUGCUACGGCGACGUUCAGCGGCGAUGGAGAAGCCAAAAGCGACCAAGCAUAGUAUUAUUACAAGAAGAUGAACGAGAGAUGAGCCUUUCCCUGCCCCCAUUAUUGUUUCUAAGGGCAUCUUUGAUCACAAUUUCAAGCUUCAUAUUUUUUUCACUUUUAAUUUUAUAGAUAGAUUAAUCAAUCUCCAAUCAUCCAUUUAUCUUCCUAUGUAAAGUCAUUUACUAGAUAAAUUAUAUUAUUUUAUAAAAAAAAAUUAAAUAACGAAAUAUAUGAUCUUUCUCGGAUGAAGAUAACUUGCAAAUUUAAUGGUAUAGUUUAGAAAUUGGGGUUGAGAAGUACCAGUAGUUAUGCUAUAUUUACCUGAUGAUCUCGUAUCGUAACUUUUUUUACACGUGGGAUUUUUUUGCUUACAGCUCAUACUCUAUAACACACUUCCGCCAUUUCACAUGUGACUUCAUCUUUUGACCAGGGUUCUGUAAAUAGAAUUUUGAGCAAGAUCCCCUUAAUACAUAACUGAAUAAACAACACUCGUAGAGAUGAAUUCUGCUGGCGGAACUAGGGAAGAAACCCUAGCUUAGUCAAAGUUUUUUUUUUCUUCCAGAUAUUUGUUUUUUUUCAGAUAUUUUUUUAUUUGAGCUCUUAAAAAUAACAGUGAACCAAUAAAAAGUAUUUAUUGUGCAAAUUUUAAUUCUAGAUUAUUUUGAUUCAUGUCAUAUUGUCAUUGACUAACAGGCCAAAGUCAUUUUGUUAAUGGGCUCUAUUUUCUUGACCAAAAUCAUACUGUUUCCCCUACUAUUAUCCUGAGCCCAUGUUUUCAAAUUUCAAUUACGCCCAACCACCAGUCCAGAGUAGUUGUUGUUGGGCCACAAGGUAACCAUCCAAUGUCUAAACUAAUCAUAGUCCAAAUAAAAUUUUUUCAUAAAAACUGCGUGUACGUGAAUCCAGGGCAGAGGACUGAACAUGACUCCACUUGAGUUGAGCAAGAAAACCGCAAUCAUAUAUCUUUGAUUUUUAAAAUUGAAAACCGCAACCGUCAAUCGGGGUCGGUUUCGGUUUCGGUUUAAGAAACUUCGAUUCGGUUAAUAGUCGGCUCGGUUUCGAUUACAAAAUCGACAAAUAUAAGAAUGAAAAAUAGUACACAAACGAGACAAAUUAAUGCACGUAAUCUAGACAUAAUAAUUAAUAUAAUAUUAAAAUUUAACAAAAGUAACCGUAUUUUAUUUAAAACACUCUUGCCAGUAAUAUAAAACUAGUCUUAGUCAGAAUUUUCAUACAGAAUACGAAUCAGAACUUCCGGCUGAUUGGCUUUUUUAACACAUGCUUCAUGAAGAUUGAGAAAAUGUGACAGGGAAAAUAGGAAAUACAGAUUGGCAGUGGCCAGUCAGCAUGAGAUAUUCACUGAACAUCAAAUAUUAACAUAGACGGAUGUUUCUGUAAGUGUUAGAAUAGAUUUAUUAUAUUUAUUACAUAUUACAUAUAUUAUUUAUUAUUAUUUUAAUAACCGGUUCCGUUUGGUUUUUAUUGGUUCGGUUGGGAGGUAUAACCGGAACCAAACCGUUUAAAUCAGAUCAAUUUUUAAUUUUUCGGUUUCUAAUUGGUUUUUUUGAGUUUUUCCAAAUUUCGAUUCGUUUUGAUUUUAAAUCGGUUUUUUGCUAAGUCCUAAAUUAAGGUAUGGGUUCAAUUAUAGACAAGGUUAAGCUUACUUUUUAAAAAGUCUAACAUCACAAGUAAAUGGUUCACAAGUAAAUGGUCUUAAAACUAUAAAGAAACCAGGAUUGAAGCUCAAAAAUUAUCACCACUACACCCUUUUUUCGUGGUGCAACAAAUUUGGCCUAAAUCAAACGCAAAUCAAACGCAUUUAUACAAGACAAAUGACAGUCUUAAUAUAGGAUUACCCCAUUUUGGUUCAACCAUGAACACUGUUUGAACUAUGCGAUAGUUUCUUUACUAAAAUAUACUUCAGACUCUGGAACUGGAAGGACUAUGGGCCACUUAAAUGCAGCAUAUAUCUUGCAAUUUGAGCUCGAUAAUGGCAAAUUCCAAAUGCAAUCUAUCCACACAUUACACUCAAGUGCGAAAGAAUGAUCCAUGUAUUUUAAGGGUUUUGGUUCCUGGCAUGUGUACAUCAGGGAGUACUUAUAUAACAUACUGAUUUUGGAUCGUUGGAUGAUAUAUGCAUCUAACGGACAUAAUUAUAAAAAAAAUUCGUCAUGCUCAAUUUUUUUUUAUUUGUUUUUUUGCAUAUGAUAUGUAACUUGAAUAAUAAGAGGAAGGGGGAAAGUGAUGCAACUGCAAUUGAAGAAGUCAGUAGUCACUUAUUUAAAUUUCAAAGUACAAAGCCCAAAUAAGCAAUUUCCAAAGAGCUAAGCAAUGAAGGGCCAAGAAAUGGCUAGCUACUGCUAAAGAAAGCAAGUCCUCAUUCCUUGAUCAGAAGAGAUAAGGCAACCGCUCUCAUGCCACGUGUCAACUCAAUAAGAGUGUUUAAUGAUAAGGCAACCAAUCCAAAUUGCUCACACUGUGUGGCUACCAUGUUGCCUUGUCAACUUCACUGUAAUUCAAUGGUCAGAAAAAUUCUGAACUUUAGGAGGUGAAUUGGGAACCAUUGGAUCAGCAGGUUAAACGAUAAUGAGAUGAAAUGCCUAUAUAUUGGAUAGGUGAAGGAACAGAAGCAAGCCUCUCAAACACAAGAGAAGAAAGUAAAAGAACAAGAAGAGAGUAUUAGUACUCAUGGCUUCUUCAAUGAUAUCAUCAGUAGCACCGGUUACCCGUGCAUCCCCUGCUCAGGCUAACAUGGUCGCGCCUUUCACCGGCCUCAAGUCCAUCGCAUCAUUCCCCGUCACCCGAAAGCUUGAGAAUGACAUUACCUCUAUUACCAGCAACGGAGGAAGAGUUCAAUGCAUGAAGGUAUAUAUCUAUACUACUUAAUACUCAGAUAUAUUAUGUGCUAAUGAGGAACCAGUAUAACAUGGCAGAACAUUUCUUAGUUAGUUAUUGCUCAUUUGCUCUCAAAGUAGCACAAUUCUAAGUCAGAUAAAGCAGUCCUAGGUAACUUUAGAGUGAGUAACUUCAGAAUUUUCCUUGAAUAUGUCAAUAAUAUACAAAAAUUAUGUCAACACCUCGAUUAAAAGAUUGUUUUGCUUGUAUUUUCCUCCUGAGCUGAUCUGAGAAAUUUUGUUCUCAAGUCAAACAAUUAGAGACUUUAGCUCAAGAGAAAUGUCACCCCCUGGCAUUGUAGCCUGCGGGAUGUCCUCUAUAUUUUACCAUAGUAACCAUGUCGCCCCUCAAGUGAAGUAGAAUUUAAUUCAAUAAUGAAAUUGAACUACCCAGUAGAGGAAAUUUCUAGUUUUUUUGUAUAAUUUCCACCUUAGCUUGCUCUUAGUAACCCCCCUCAGUCUCAUUAAAUAGUCGGAAAUGUAUAUUCUUAUGAAGACAUGAUCACGUUCUUCAAAUUUUGCAAUCCAACACUGUUUCUAGACAAAUAUACAAUCUGUCGGUUUGUAAUUGAGUAAAUAUGACAUUCACAAAAUAUAUCAAGGAGAACACACCUUGGUUCUGAAAGUGAAUGAUAAAUUAGUUAGGUAACAUAUGUGAAUGGUGCAAGUGCAGGUAUGGCCACCAAUUAACAUGAAGAAGUUCGAGACACUCUCAUACCUUCCUCCUCUCACCACCGAACAAUUGGCAAAGGAGGUCGACUACCUUCUCCGUUCCGGAUGGGUUCCUUGUCUGGAAUUCGAGUUGGAGGUAAGCACUUUCUUCCUACACAUUUUUCAUGUUCUCUGUUACAUGUUUCUUGACAUUGCUGAUGACAAUUGUGUGUUAAACCAAUAUGCAGCACGGUUUCGUGUACCGUGAGCACAACAAAUCUCCCGGAUACUAUGACGGACGAUACUGGGUUAUGUGGAAGCUUCCCAUGUUCGGGUGCACCGACUCAUCGCAGGUGUUGAAGGAGCUUGAUGAGUGCGUCAAGGAGUACCCCCAGGCGUACGUCCGUAUCAUCGGAUUCGACAACGUUCGCCAAGUCCAGUGCAUCAGUUUCAUUGCUCACCAGCCAGAAUGCUGAUCAAUCUGUCUGUUGAUUUCAUAUAUUUAUCAAUCUUGUUCGGCUCAUAUAUAAACUUCUUGCAAUCUCAUUUCAUUUCUUUCCGUUUUAAAUUUCUUACUUGUAUCUCCAACACAAGGAAAUUGGAACUAUAGAGGAUUAUAUGUAGCGAUUGUUGGUGAUUAUAUAUAUCUACUUGUUUGUUUUCCCUGCACCUUCUAAAUACUUGCAUCAUAUGCUUUCAUGUCGUGAUGUACUUUUUUAUAUAUCUCCGAUUCUCCAUGCAGUAAUUAACCACUACGGUCUUUUUACACCAACAAAUUAUAUGAUAACAUAUAGAAACAGUUCAUUGCUUCCGUAAUAUCUGCCUUGGUACAUGUUCUCUUGUAUCACUACAAAACCUUUCACGUCCAACAAUGUGAAAGCAAAUUCUCUGUAAUAGAAAUGGACAUCUGCUAGCGACAUUUCAGAUAAUAAUAAAGUGUACUUAUGCACCAUCUGGUUGGAAGGAAUGAACGGGAAAAACAUGAACAAAAUCAAAGGUAAACGAGAAGUAUACAAGAGUGAAGAGUGAUGAAGAACUAGAAAGUGCAGACUUUAUUAUGAGUUUCACAAUAUAAUGAGUAAAAUAUAGGAAUGAUCAUUUAUCCCUAUAUUGGUAAGAUUGAGAUAUUAGUUUUUUUUUGUGUGCCAAACUAGUACAAAUUUCAUUUCAUUCUCCCUAAACGUAAUUCUUCCAACAAAAUGGGGCAUUACAUAAAGGUAUAAAGAUGAGGAGAUUAAAGAUUGACAGCUGCGAUAAGGGAAGGUAUGGAAAACAUGUGUAACUAUAUAAAUGUCGAACACCAAUAAGAUCCAAAUAACUCAGAUAACAUCCAAACUCAGUAACAAAUUGGUUAACAGAUAAAAUUCAGAAGCGAAUGCAAAAUAGUUUAUAAAAUUAGAUUCUAAGAUUCAAAAUUUCUAGUAUUCAGAUUAUAUGCAGAUGAAAGAGGAAGGGAGAUUUAUUGAAUAAUUUAGGCUUGACAAAACACAAUAAAAUGAUACACAUAGACUAGUAUACUCUAAUACUUAAUGAGCAGCAUAUAUUCUUAUUCUUAACUACCGUCUAUUCUAUUAUAUCAAAGAAACAUAAAUUAUUGCAAAGCUGUAAAUUCACAUUAAGAAGCUUAAACAAAUUACACAACUAGAAAUCAACCACUCAAAUUGGAUAUAAUUGGAUAAAUAUCUAAAGAGAUCAUAACUAAGAACCCUAAUUUCAAAGUUAUAAAUGUAUGUAUAUAAAUGAUUCAAAAAUCAGAACUCUGUAACACAAAAAAGCUAGCUGAACUGAGAUGAAGUAGAAAGCAGCAACAAAACAUUUAUGAAUUAAAUAUCUAAAGCUGAUCUAAUUACAAACAUCAACUCACAGUUAUCAAGAGGGGUGUAUUGGAUUGGGAUUUUAAAUCAUUUUUUUGCAUUCAUGAAAUCCGAGGGUAUUCGAUUGAGAUUAUUUGAAAUGCAUUAAAAUCUUGGGGUAUUCAAUUGGGAUUUUGAAUUAUGCUACAAAAUCUGGUGGUAUUCAAUUGGGAUUUUAAAUUAUGCUUUAAAAUCCGGUGGUAUUCAAUUCGGAUUGUUUAAAAUCCAUUAAAAUCUGAUGGUAUUCAAAUGUUGUCGGAUUUUUUUUCAUUUCAUAAAAUGGUGGAUUUUGUGGCAUUGUUCGAUGUAUUUUAAGUUUUAUGAAAUCCCACCAAAAUCAAUGGGAUUUUGAAGCAUUGUGCUUAAAUCCUAUCAACUCUGCGACAUUUCAUCAAGAAUCCGCACAAAAUCAAAAUCACAUGCAAUCCAUUAAAAUCCAUAGACUAAAAACAAUCCAUUAAAAUCUCAAUCGAAUACACCCCCGCAAUUUAUUAAUCAGAUGAGAGGAAGGAAGGGAGAGGGUCAGAGGGAGAGGGAGAGGGAGAGAGAGAGAGAGAGAGGAGUUACAGUGCUACGGCGACGUUCAGCGGCGAUGGAGAAGCCAAAAGCGACCAAGCAUAGUAUUAUUACAAGAAGAUGAACGAGAGAUGAGCCUUUCCCUGCCCCCAUUAUUGUUUCUAAGGGCAUCUUUGAUCACAAUUUCAAGCUUCAUAUUUUUUUCACUUUUAAUUUUAUAGAUAGAUUAAUCAAUCUCCAAUCAUCCAUUUAUCUUCCUAUGUAAAGUCAUUUACUAGAUAAAUUAUAUUAUUUUAUAAAAAAAAAUUAAAUAACGAAAUAUAUGAUCUUUCUCGGAUGAAGAUAACUUGCAAAUUUAAUGGUAUAGUUUAGAAAUUGGGGUUGAGAAGUACCAGUAGUUAUGCUAUAUUUACCUGAUGAUCUCGUAUCGUAACUUUUUUUACACGUGGGAUUUUUUUGCUUACAGCUCAUACUCUAUAACACACUUCCGCCAUUUCACAUGUGACUUCAUCUUUUGACCAGGGUUCUGUAAAUAGAAUUUUGAGCAAGAUCCCCUUAAUACAUAACUGAAUAAACAACACUCGUAGAGAUGAAUUCUGCUGGCGGAACUAGGGAAGAAACCCUAGCUUAGUCAAAGUUUUUUUUUUCUUCCAGAUAUUUGUUUUUUUUCAGAUAUUUUUUUAUUUGAGCUCUUAAAAAUAACAGUGAACCAAUAAAAAGUAUUUAUUGUGCAAAUUUUAAUUCUAGAUUAUUUUGAUUCAUGUCAUAUUGUCAUUGACUAACAGGCCAAAGUCAUUUUGUUAAUGGGCUCUAUUUUCUUGACCAAAAUCAUACUGUUUCCCCUACUAUUAUCCUGAGCCCAUGUUUUCAAAUUUCAAUUACGCCCAACCACCAGUCCAGAGUAGUUGUUGUUGGGCCACAAGGUAACCAUCCAAUGUCUAAACUAAUCAUAGUCCAAAUAAAAUUUUUUCAUAAAAACUGCGUGUACGUGAAUCCAGGGCAGAGGACUGAACAUGACUCCACUUGAGUUGAGCAAGAAAACCGCAAUCAUAUAUCUUUGAUUUUUAAAAUUGAAAACCGCAACCGUCAAUCGGGGUCGGUUUCGGUUUCGGUUUAAGAAACUUCGAUUCGGUUAAUAGUCGGCUCGGUUUCGAUUACAAAAUCGACAAAUAUAAGAAUGAAAAAUAGUACACAAACGAGACAAAUUAAUGCACGUAAUCUAGACAUAAUAAUUAAUAUAAUAUUAAAAUUUAACAAAAGUAACCGUAUUUUAUUUAAAACACUCUUGCCAGUAAUAUAAAACUAGUCUUAGUCAGAAUUUUCAUACAGAAUACGAAUCAGAACUUCCGGCUGAUUGGCUUUUUUAACACAUGCUUCAUGAAGAUUGAGAAAAUGUGACAGGGAAAAUAGGAAAUACAGAUUGGCAGUGGCCAGUCAGCAUGAGAUAUUCACUGAACAUCAAAUAUUAACAUAGACGGAUGUUUCUGUAAGUGUUAGAAUAGAUUUAUUAUAUUUAUUACAUAUUACAUAUAUUAUUUAUUAUUAUUUUAAUAACCGGUUCCGUUUGGUUUUUAUUGGUUCGGUUGGGAGGUAUAACCGGAACCAAACCGUUUAAAUCAGAUCAAUUUUUAAUUUUUCGGUUUCUAAUUGGUUUUUUUGAGUUUUUCCAAAUUUCGAUUCGUUUUGAUUUUAAAUCGGUUUUUUGCUAAGUCCUAAAUUAAGGUAUGGGUUCAAUUAUAGACAAGGUUAAGCUUACUUUUUAAAAAGUCUAACAUCACAAGUAAAUGGUUCACAAGUAAAUGGUCUUAAAACUAUAAAGAAACCAGGAUUGAAGCUCAAAAAUUAUCACCACUACACCCUUUUUUCGUGGUGCAACAAAUUUGGCCUAAAUCAAACGCAAAUCAAACGCAUUUAUACAAGACAAAUGACAGUCUUAAUAUAGGAUUACCCCAUUUUGGUUCAACCAUGAACACUGUUUGAACUAUGCGAUAGUUUCUUUACUAAAAUAUACUUCAGACUCUGGAACUGGAAGGACUAUGGGCCACUUAAAUGCAGCAUAUAUCUUGCAAUUUGAGCUCGAUAAUGGCAAAUUCCAAAUGCAAUCUAUCCACACAUUACACUCAAGUGCGAAAGAAUGAUCCAUGUAUUUUAAGGGUUUUGGUUCCUGGCAUGUGUACAUCAGGGAGUACUUAUAUAACAUACUGAUUUUGGAUCGUUGGAUGAUAUAUGCAUCUAACGGACAUAAUUAUAAAAAAAAUUCGUCAUGCUCAAUUUUUUUUUAUUUGUUUUUUUGCAUAUGAUAUGUAACUUGAAUAAUAAGAGGAAGGGGGAAAGUGAUGCAACUGCAAUUGAAGAAGUCAGUAGUCACUUAUUUAAAUUUCAAAGUACAAAGCCCAAAUAAGCAAUUUCCAAAGAGCUAAGCAAUGAAGGGCCAAGAAAUGGCUAGCUACUGCUAAAGAAAGCAAGUCCUCAUUCCUUGAUCAGAAGAGAUAAGGCAACCGCUCUCAUGCCACGUGUCAACUCAAUAAGAGUGUUUAAUGAUAAGGCAACCAAUCCAAAUUGCUCACACUGUGUGGCUACCAUGUUGCCUUGUCAACUUCACUGUAAUUCAAUGGUCAGAAAAAUUCUGAACUUUAGGAGGUGAAUUGGGAACCAUUGGAUCAGCAGGUUAAACGAUAAUGAGAUGAAAUGCCUAUAUAUUGGAUAGGUGAAGGAACAGAAGCAAGCCUCUCAAACACAAGAGAAGAAAGUAAAAGAACAAGAAGAGAGUAUUAGUACUCAUGGCUUCUUCAAUGAUAUCAUCAGUAGCACCGGUUACCCGUGCAUCCCCUGCUCAGGCUAACAUGGUCGCGCCUUUCACCGGCCUCAAGUCCAUCGCAUCAUUCCCCGUCACCCGAAAGCUUGAGAAUGACAUUACCUCUAUUACCAGCAACGGAGGAAGAGUUCAAUGCAUGAAGGUAUAUAUCUAUACUACUUAAUACUCAGAUAUAUUAUGUGCUAAUGAGGAACCAGUAUAACAUGGCAGAACAUUUCUUAGUUAGUUAUUGCUCAUUUGCUCUCAAAGUAGCACAAUUCUAAGUCAGAUAAAGCAGUCCUAGGUAACUUUAGAGUGAGUAACUUCAGAAUUUUCCUUGAAUAUGUCAAUAAUAUACAAAAAUUAUGUCAACACCUCGAUUAAAAGAUUGUUUUGCUUGUAUUUUCCUCCUGAGCUGAUCUGAGAAAUUUUGUUCUCAAGUCAAACAAUUAGAGACUUUAGCUCAAGAGAAAUGUCACCCCCUGGCAUUGUAGCCUGCGGGAUGUCCUCUAUAUUUUACCAUAGUAACCAUGUCGCCCCUCAAGUGAAGUAGAAUUUAAUUCAAUAAUGAAAUUGAACUACCCAGUAGAGGAAAUUUCUAGUUUUUUUGUAUAAUUUCCACCUUAGCUUGCUCUUAGUAACCCCCCUCAGUCUCAUUAAAUAGUCGGAAAUGUAUAUUCUUAUGAAGACAUGAUCACGUUCUUCAAAUUUUGCAAUCCAACACUGUUUCUAGACAAAUAUACAAUCUGUCGGUUUGUAAUUGAGUAAAUAUGACAUUCACAAAAUAUAUCAAGGAGAACACACCUUGGUUCUGAAAGUGAAUGAUAAAUUAGUUAGGUAACAUAUGUGAAUGGUGCAAGUGCAGGUAUGGCCACCAAUUAACAUGAAGAAGUUCGAGACACUCUCAUACCUUCCUCCUCUCACCACCGAACAAUUGGCAAAGGAGGUCGACUACCUUCUCCGUUCCGGAUGGGUUCCUCGUCUGGAAUUCGAGUUGGAGGUAAGCACUUUCUUCCUACAUAUUUUUCAUGUUCUCUGUUACAUGUUUCUUGACAUUGCUGAUGACAAUUGUGUGUUAAACCAAUAUGCAGCACGGUUUCGUGUACCGUGAGCACAACAAAUCUCCCGGAUACUAUGACGGACGAUACUGGGUUAUGUGGAAGCUUCCCAUGUUCGGGUGCACCGACUCAUCGCAGGUGUUGAAGGAGCUUGAUGAGUGCGUCAAGGAGUACCCCCAGGCGUACGUCCGUAUCAUCGGAUUCGACAACGUUCGCCAAGUCCAGUGCAUCAGUUUCAUUGCUCACCAGCCAGAAUGCUGAUCAAUCUGUCUGUUGAUUUCAUAUAUUUAUCAAUCUUGUUCGGCUCAUAUAUAAACUUCUUGCAAUCUCAUUUCAUUUCUUUCCGUUUUAAAUUUCUUACUUGUAUCUCCAACACAAGGAAAUUGGAACUAUAGAGGAUUAUAUGUAGCGAUUGUUGGUGAUUAUAUAUAUCUACUUGUUUGUUUUCCCUGCACCUUCUAAAUACUUGCAUCAUAUGCUUUCAUGUCGUGAUGUACUUUUUUAUAUAUCUCCGAUUCUCCAUGCAGUAAUUAACCACUACGGUCUUUUUACACCAACAAAUUAUAUGAUAACAUAUAGAAACAGUUCAUUGCUUCCGUAAUAUCUGCCUUGGUACAUGUUCUCUUGUAUCACUACAAAACCUUUCACGUCCAACAAUGUGAAAGCAAAUUCUCUGUAAUAGAAAUGGACAUCUGCUAGCGACAUUUCAGAUAAUAAUAAAGUGUACUUAUGCACCAUCUGGUUGGAAGGAAUGAACGGGAAAAACAUGAACAAAAUCAAAGGUAAACGAGAAGUAUACAAGAGUGAAGAGUGAUGAAGAACUAGAAAGUGCAGACUUUAUUAUGAGUUUCACAAUAUAAUGAGUAAAAUAUAGGAAUGAUCAUUUAUCCCUAUAUUGGUAAGAUUGAGAUAUUAGUUUUUUUUUGUGUGCCAAACUAGUACAAAUUUCAUUUCAUUCUCCCUAAACGUAAUUCUUCCAACAAAAUGGGGCAUUACAUAAAGGUAUAAAGAUGAGGAGAUUAAAGAUUGACAGCUGCGAUAAGGGAAGGUAUGGAAAACAUGUGUAACUAUAUAAAUGUCGAACACCAAUAAGAUCCAAAUAACUCAGAUAACAUCCAAACUCAGUAACAAAUUGGUUAACAGAUAAAAUUCAGAAGCGAAUGCAAAAUAGUUUAUAAAAUUAGAUUCUAAGAUUCAAAAUUUCUAGUAUUCAGAUUAUAUGCAGAUGAAAGAGGAAGGGAGAUUUAUUGAAUAAUUUAGGCUUGACAAAACACAAUAAAAUGAUACACAUAGACUAGUAUACUCUAAUACUUAAUGAGCAGCAUAUAUUCUUAUUCUUAACUACCGUCUAUUCUAUUAUAUCAAAGAAACAUAAAUUAUUGCAAAGCUGUAAAUUCACAUUAAGAAGCUUAAACAAAUUACACAACUAGAAAUCAACCACUCAAAUUGGAUAUAAUUGGAUAAAUAUCUAAAGAGAUCAUAACUAAGAACCCUAAUUUCAAAGUUAUAAAUGUAUGUAUAUAAAUGAUUCAAAAAUCAGAACUCUGUAACACAAAAAAGCUAGCUGAACUGAGAUGAAGUAGAAAGCAGCAACAAAACAUUUAUGAAUUAAAUAUCUAAAGCUGAUCUAAUUACAAACAUCAACUCACAGUUAUCAAGAGGGGUGUAUUGGAUUGGGAUUUUAAAUCAUUUUUUUGCAUUCAUGAAAUCCGAGGGUAUUCGAUUGAGAUUAUUUGAAAUGCAUUAAAAUCUUGGGGUAUUCAAUUGGGAUUUUGAAUUAUGCUACAAAAUCUGGUGGUAUUCAAUUGGGAUUUUAAAUUAUGCUUUAAAAUCCGGUGGUAUUCAAUUCGGAUUGUUUAAAAUCCAUUAAAAUCUGAUGGUAUUCAAAUGUUGUCGGAUUUUUUUUCAUUUCAUAAAAUGGUGGAUUUUGUGGCAUUGUUCGAUGUAUUUUAAGUUUUAUGAAAUCCCACCAAAAUCAAUGGGAUUUUGAAGCAUUGUGCUUAAAUCCUAUCAACUCUGCGACAUUUCAUCAAGAAUCCGCACAAAAUCAAAAACACAUGCAAUCCAUUAAAAUCCAUAGACUAAAAACAAUCCAUUAAAAUCUCAAUCGAAUACACCCCCGCAAUUUAUUAAUCAGAUGAGAGGAAGGAAGGGAGAGGGUCAGAGGGAGAGGGAGAGGGAGAGAGAGAGAGAGAGAGGAGUUACAGUGCUACGGCGACGUUCAGCGGCGAUGGAGAAGCCAAAAGCGACCAAGCAUAGUAUUAUUACAAGAAGAUGAACGAGAGAUGAGCCUUUCCCUGCCCCCAUUAUUGUUUCUAAGGGCAUCUUUGAUCACAAUUUCAAGCUUCAUAUUUUUUUCACUUUUAAUUUUAUAGAUAGAUUAAUCAAUCUCCAAUCAUCCAUUUAUCUUCCUAUGUAAAGUCAUUUACUAGAUAAAUUAUAUUAUUUUAUAAAAAAAAAUUAAAUAACGAAAUAUAUGAUCUUUCUCGGAUGAAGAUAACUUGCAAAUUUAAUGGUAUAGUUUAGAAAUUGGGGUUGAGAAGUACCAGUAGUUAUGCUAUAUUUACCUGAUGAUCUCGUAUCGUAACUUUUUUUACACGUGGGAUUUUUUUGCUUACAGCUCAUACUCUAUAACACACUUCCGCCAUUUCACAUGUGACUUCAUCUUUUGACCAGGGUUCUGUAAAUAGAAUUUUGAGCAAGAUCCCCUUAAUACAUAACUGAAUAAACAACACUCGUAGAGAUGAAUUCUGCUGGCGGAACUAGGGAAGAAACCCUAGCUUAGUCAAAGUUUUUUUUUUCUUCCAGAUAUUUGUUUUUUUUCAGAUAUUUUUUUAUUUGAGCUCUUAAAAAUAACAGUGAACCAAUAAAAAGUAUUUAUUGUGCAAAUUUUAAUUCUAGAUUAUUUUGAUUCAUGUCAUAUUGUCAUUGACUAACAGGCCAAAGUCAUUUUGUUAAUGGGCUCUAUUUUCUUGACCAAAAUCAUACUGUUUCCCCUACUAUUAUCCUGAGCCCAUGUUUUCAAAUUUCAAUUACGCCCAACCACCAGUCCAGAGUAGUUGUUGUUGGGCCACAAGGUAACCAUCCAAUGUCUAAACUAAUCAUAGUCCAAAUAAAAUUUUUUCAUAAAAACUGCGUGUACGUGAAUCCAGGGCAGAGGACUGAACAUGACUCCACUUGAGUUGAGCAAGAAAACCGCAAUCAUAUAUCUUUGAUUUUUAAAAUUGAAAACCGCAACCGUCAAUCGGGGUCGGUUUCGGUUUCGGUUUAAGAAACUUCGAUUCGGUUAAUAGUCGGCUCGGUUUCGAUUACAAAAUCGACAAAUAUAAGAAUGAAAAAUAGUACACAAACGAGACAAAUUAAUGCACGUAAUCUAGACAUAAUAAUUAAUAUAAUAUUAAAAUUUAACAAAAGUAACCGUAUUUUAUUUAAAACACUCUUGCCAGUAAUAUAAAACUAGUCUUAGUCAGAAUUUUCAUACAGAAUACGAAUCAGAACUUCCGGCUGAUUGGCUUUUUUAACACAUGCUUCAUGAAGAUUGAGAAAAUGUGACAGGGAAAAUAGGAAAUACAGAUUGGCAGUGGCCAGUCAGCAUGAGAUAUUCACUGAACAUCAAAUAUUAACAUAGACGGAUGUUUCUGUAAGUGUUAGAAUAGAUUUAUUAUAUUUAUUACAUAUUACAUAUAUUAUUUAUUAUUAUUUUAAUAACCGGUUCCGUUUGGUUUUUAUUGGUUCGGUUGGGAGGUAUAACCGGAACCAAACCGUUUAAAUCAGAUCAAUUUUUAAUUUUUCGGUUUCUAAUUGGUUUUUUUGAGUUUUUCCAAAUUUCGAUUCGUUUUGAUUUUAAAUCGGUUUUUUGCUAAGUCCUAAAUUAAGGUAUGGGUUCAAUUAUAGACAAGGUUAAGCUUACUUUUUAAAAAGUCUAACAUCACAAGUAAAUGGUUCACAAGUAAAUGGUCUUAAAACUAUAAAGAAACCAGGAUUGAAGCUCAAAAAUUAUCACCACUACACCCUUUUUUCGUGGUGCAACAAAUUUGGCCUAAAUCAAACGCAAAUCAAACGCAUUUAUACAAGACAAAUGACAGUCUUAAUAUAGGAUUACCCCAUUUUGGUUCAACCAUGAACACUGUUUGAACUAUGCGAUAGUUUCUUUACUAAAAUAUACUUCAGACUCUGGAACUGGAAGGACUAUGGGCCACUUAAAUGCAGCAUAUAUCUUGCAAUUUGAGCUCGAUAAUGGCAAAUUCCAAAUGCAAUCUAUCCACACAUUACACUCAAGUGCGAAAGAAUGAUCCAUGUAUUUUAAGGGUUUUGGUUCCUGGCAUGUGUACAUCAGGGAGUACUUAUAUAACAUACUGAUUUUGGAUCGUUGGAUGAUAUAUGCAUCUAACGGACAUAAUUAUAAAAAAAAUUCGUCAUGCUCAAUUUUUUUUUAUUUGUUUUUUUGCAUAUGAUAUGUAACUUGAAUAAUAAGAGGAAGGGGGAAAGUGAUGCAACUGCAAUUGAAGAAGUCAGUAGUCACUUAUUUAAAUUUCAAAGUACAAAGCCCAAAUAAGCAAUUUCCAAAGAGCUAAGCAAUGAAGGGCCAAGAAAUGGCUAGCUACUGCUAAAGAAAGCAAGUCCUCAUUCCUUGAUCAGAAGAGAUAAGGCAACCGCUCUCAUGCCACGUGUCAACUCAAUAAGAGUGUUUAAUGAUAAGGCAACCAAUCCAAAUUGCUCACACUGUGUGGCUACCAUGUUGCCUUGUCAACUUCACUGUAAUUCAAUGGUCAGAAAAAUUCUGAACUUUAGGAGGUGAAUUGGGAACCAUUGGAUCAGCAGGUUAAACGAUAAUGAGAUGAAAUGCCUAUAUAUUGGAUAGGUGAAGGAACAGAAGCAAGCCUCUCAAACACAAGAGAAGAAAGUAAAAGAACAAGAAGAGAGUAUUAGUACUCAUGGCUUCUUCAAUGAUAUCAUCAGUAGCACCGGUUACCCGUGCAUCCCCUGCUCAGGCUAACAUGGUCGCGCCUUUCACCGGCCUCAAGUCCAUCGCAUCAUUCCCCGUCACCCGAAAGCUUGAGAAUGACAUUACCUCUAUUACCAGCAACGGAGGAAGAGUUCAAUGCAUGAAGGUAUAUAUCUAUACUACUUAAUACUCAGAUAUAUUAUGUGCUAAUGAGGAACCAGUAUAACAUGGCAGAACAUUUCUUAGUGAGUUAUUGCUUUCAAAGUAGCACAAUUUUAAGUCAGAUAAAGUAGUCCUAGGUAACUUUAGAGUGAGCAUAACUUUGGAAUUUUCCUUGAAUAUGUAAAUAAUUUACAAAUAUUAUGUCAACACUUCAAAUAAAAGAUGGUUUUGCUUGUAUUUUCCUCCCGAUCUGAUCUGAGAAAUUUUGUUGUCAAGUCAAACAAUUAGAUACUUUAGCUCAAGAGAAAUGUCACUCCCUGGCAAUCCUGGGGGAUAACUUCUAUAUUUUACCAUAGUAACAGGAGUUUGAGAGUCCAAGAUUCGCAGAAAACAUGUGUGUGUCAAUGUGUGAAAGCCUAAUCAUGUCGCCCCUCAAGUGAAGUAGAUUUUAAUUCAAAAUAGAGAUGUGUGAGAACCUAAUCAUGUCCAAGUUUUUUGUAUGAUUUUCACCUUAGCUUGCUCUCAGUAACCCCUCUCUUAGUCUCAUUAAACAGUGACUCUGAAAUGUAUAUUCUUUUAAAGACAUGAUCACGUUCUUCAAAUUUUGCAAUCCAACACUUUUUGUCAAAAAAUAUACUACAAUCUGUCGGUUUCUAAUCGAGUAAAUAUGACAUUCACAAAGUAUAUCACUGAGAACACACCAUGGUGUGAGAGUGAAUAAGAAAUUAGUUAGCUAACAUAUGUGAAUGGUGCAAGCGCAGGUAUGGCCACCAAUUAACAUGAAGAAGUUCGAGACACUCUCGUACCUUCCUCCUCUCACCACCGAACAAUUGGCAAAGGAGGUCGACUACCUUCUCCGUUCCGGAUGGGUUCCUUGUCUGGAAUUCGAGUUGGAGGUAACCACUUUCUUCCUACACAUUUUUCAUGUUCUCUGUUACAUGUUUCUUGACAUUGCUGAUGACAAUUGUGUGUUAAACCAAAAUGUAGCACGGUUUCGUGUACCGUGAGCACAACAAAUCCCCCGGAUACUAUGACGGACGAUACUGGGUUAUGUGGAAGCUUCCCAUGUUCGGGUGCACCGACUCAUCGCAGGUGUUGAAGGAGCUUGAUGAGUGCGUCAAGGAGUACCCCCAGGCCUACGUCCGUAUCAUCGGAUUCGACAACGUUCGCCAAGUCCAGUGCAUCAGUUUCAUUGCUCACCAGCCUGAAUGCUGAUCAAUCUGC
rnacentral:lncRNA from 1 species